rnacentral:rRNA from 1 species
AACGAACGCUGGCGGCAUGCCUAACACAUGCAAGUCGAACGAGACCUUCGGGUCUAGUUGCGCACGGGUGCGUAACGCGUGGGAACCUGCCCUUAGGUUCGGAAUAACUCCCCGAAAGGGGUGCUAAUACCGGAUAAUGCCUUCGGACCAAAGAUUUAUCGCCUUUGGAUGGGCCCGCGUUGGAUUAGCUAGUUGGUAGGGUAAAAGCCUACCAAGGCGACGAUCCAUAGCUGGUCUGAGAGGAUGAUCAGCCACACUGGGACUGAGACACGGCCCAGACUACUACGGGAGGCAGCAGUGGGGAAUAUUGGACAAUGGGCGAAAGCCUGAUCCAGCAAUGCCGCGUGAGUGAUGAAGGCCUUAGGGUUGUAAAGCUCUUUUACCCGGGAUGAUAAUGACAGUACCGGGAGAAUAAGCACCGGCUAACUCCGUG